AGUUCAUUUUGUGGGCAAUUCUUAAUUAGACCCUUGUAGCGCUCCCAUGCCUCAUAUAGCGACUCACCCAUUUGUUGUUCAAAAUUUGCAAUGACCUUUUUGAGUUU